rnacentral:rRNA from 1 species
GACGAACCGUGCGAACGUUGUUCGGAUUCACUGGGCUUAAAGGGCGCGUAGGCGGGUCCACCAGUCAGGUGUGAAAGCUCCCGGCCCAACCGGGAAAGUGCCUUUGAUACUGUGGAUCUCCAGGGAGGUAGGGGCACGCGGAACUUCCGGUGGAGCGGUGAAAUGCGUAGAUAUCGGAAGGAACGCCGGUGGCGAAAGCGGCGUGCUGGACCUCUACUGACGCUGAGGCGCGAAAGCCAGGGGAGCAAACGGG